GGCUUAGAUUCCGCAAUGGAUUAUGGCCGCUCGACUGCCUCCCGCUUGCGGCUCUGGCCUGGCGGCUGGGGAGAAUCUGCUGCUUGCUGCGAACCAGGAACUUUCAUGUUCAGCAGCCAGAUUGUGUUUUUAGUUCUCACAACAGCCCUUUGAGGGAGGAGCCAUCAGCACUAGUUUAUGGACGGCAGGUGGACCUCCCUGAUCAAGCGGCUGGCUCACGCCAAAUUGAAGACUGGCCAUCAGCACCGAUGCCAAGGCACCCCACAGUCUACAGAAACGGUCUGAUGUCACCCCUGCAGCGAUUCCAGGACUCUGGUUUCCUGGGUCUGUCAUCCGGAUUGUCCCUGUGGGACUAACAGCCUGGGAAGCAGGGAGGACAACUAUUACCCACAGUGCUUUACCUAUGAGCACCUGUGCCAAUGUUCAUUUAGGAUAAAUUCUAAGAAAAAUUUCUCAGCUGAAGGGAAUGAACAUUUAAAUUUAAUAAAUAUUGCCAAAUCACCUUCUAAUAAUGUACCAAUUUGUACUUCGAGUAAUAAUGAGUUUCCCCUCACCCUCACAAACACAGCUUUCAACAAAUCUUUUGGACACUUUUUGUGAAUGAUGGAAAUUUCAGGUUUAUUUUGCAUUUUAUUUAAUUGGGAAUAAGAGUGAACAU
rnacentral:lncRNA from 1 species